rnacentral:rRNA from 1 species
UGGGGAAUAUUGCACAAUGGGCGCAAGCCUGAUGCAGCAAUGCCGCGUGAGUGAAGACGGCCUUAGGGUUGUAAAACUCUUUCGCUAGGGAAGAAAAUGACGGUACCUGCAGAAGAAGGUGCGGCCAACUACGUGCCAGCAGCCGCGGUGACACGUAGGCACCAAGCGUUGUCCGGAUUUAUUGGGCGUAAAGAGCUCGUAGGCGGUUCAGUAAGUCGGGUGUGAAAACUCUGGGCUCAACCCAGAGAGGCCACCCGAUACUGCUGUGACUUGAGUACGGUAGGGGAGCGGGGAAUUCCUGGUGUAGCGGUGAAAUGCGCAGAUAUCAGGAGGAACACCAGUGGCGAAGGCGCCGCUCUGGGCCGUAACUGACGCUGAGGAGCGAAAGCAUGGGUAGCAAAGCAGGAUUAGAUACCCUGGUAGUCCAUGCCGUAAACGUUGGGCACUAGGUGUGGUCUCAACCAACGAGAUCCGCGCCGUCGCUAACGCAUUAAGUGCCCCGCCUGGGAGUACGGUCGCAAGAUUAAAACUCAAAGGAAUUGA